rnacentral:rRNA from 1 species
UACGGAGGGGGCUAGCGUUGUUCGGAAUUACUGGGCGUAAAGCGCACGUAGGCGGCUUUGCAAGUUAGAGGUGAAAGCCCGGGGCUCAACUCCGGAAUUGCCUUUAAAACUGCAUCGCUAGAAUUGUGGAGAGGUAAGUGGAAUUCCGAGUGUAGAGGUGAAAUUCGUAGAUAUUCGGAAGAACACCAGUGGCGAAGGCGACUUACUGGACACAUAUUGACGCUGAGUGAGCGAAAGCCAGGGGAGCAAACGGG